CUCCUUGUAUCCUCAGCAGAGAGGGGCUUCCUAAUAUAGAGCUGUUUCAAGAGAGCUAAAACUAAGACUUCUAAAGAAAUGGCAUUGAAGCUGUUGUUUAUUGAUGAGUCCCAGCUCUCCCCUCCCUCUACAGGAGACAUUCUCCUAGUAAUUUUGGACUAAUGUUUAGCAUUCCUGUCAAGAACUACGGUUUCAUCCUUAACCUUAGAAAAGCAGAACUUGAGAAGAAUUGUCAGGCACCAGCUCUGGUACAACAUUUUGAGACUACACUUGGAGCAGUAUAUCCUCAUGAACCAUCAAUGGGAAGGGGAUGAAAAGCAAUAACCAUGGACAAAGCCUUGAGGAAAAAAAAAUGCCCACUGCAAUACAUUCCCUUCUUCUUCUAUAUUAGAAGAAGUUCAGAAAGGCCAAACAAAGCCAGAAAUAAUUCAUUGUCUCCGUAAGUGAUUUUCUAAGAAAUCACAGAAAUAUAUUGCAUAAUAAGUAUAA